GAAGAGAUGGAGGGGCUGAUAAGAGGCCCUGUGCUGGGCUUCUGUGCCUGGUGCCAGCCUGCACAAGCUGGGGGAAGGCAGUCUGCCCAGGGGUCCCAUGUCCCAGGGCUGGGAGAUCCCUGGGGCCAGGGAGGACCAUGCUGGCCGGUGCUCCCACUCGCUGGCUGGCUUCAGGAAAUAGGGGUUCAGUAAUGCCCAGGGCAUCUGCAGGAGGUGGGUGUGGGUCGGUCUGGGCAGAUGGCUGGGAGUUGGGUGGAAUCUGGAGCCCAUGGGGGUCUAGACCCAGCCUUUGCUGAUGGAGGUCUUCGCUGCCGAUGGAGGUCCUAGCUGCCGAUGGAGGUCCUAGCUGCCGAUGGAGGUCCUAGGUGCCGAUGGAGGUCCUAGCUGCUGAUGGAGGUCCUAGGUGCUGAGGGAGAUCCUAGCUGCUGAUGGAGGUCCUAAGUAGGCCACAGAGGCACUCUGAGCCUCAACUUCGUGGGGGCUUGGUGAGGCUCAGAGAAGGCAGAGCAAGGGAAAGUUGUUUGGAGGGCAUGUGGGCAUUGCCGGGGCUCUGCCCAGUAUCCACCACAUCUCCUAGGAGCAGCCCUGAAUCCUUCUUUGGGAACUACCCAUAGGCUGGUACUAGGCUGAGCCCAUCUCUUGCCCCAAAUAGGGCAUGUGACUGGGACCUGGGCAUCACUCAUUGCCUAGCCAUAAUCAGUCAGAUCGUACUUGGGCCCUUCAUGGACCCCAGGUCUGAGCUGGGAUGUCAGCCUGGAGGUGCCAUGCCAAGGGCAAGGGCUGUCUGAGAGGACAGCAGGCUGAGCCCAGGGUGGGGACACCAGUUUUGAUGGUAGCCGUCGGGCUCCUGGAUCCAACCAUGCCUGAAGGAGAUGGCACCACCAGUGUACUCUCAGAUGCAGGCAAAGUUUCCAUCCUGGUAAAUGAAGUGUCCUGAGCCAUCUGCCCACCUCGCCACACAGGGAGAGGACGGCCACAUGUCCCAACAGGUCUCUGACUCCCUCCUCUCCUCAUCAGGGCAUUCCGGGCUGGGGUCACCCUUCAGAAGAGCACACAGGUGGGCACUCAAGAUGCACACCAAGGAGCCCCAGAUGUUUCCACCAGGGUCUUUCCACCACUGGCUCAUCCAGUGCUGCAUAGGUGGGACACAGAGCCCAGGGGAUGGAGGAGUCGCCCAGUGACCUCACCGUGCAUCCCUUGGGCACUCCCAUCUCUGCUUGGAUCAGCUAAGCAACUCCAGAAAAAGUGAGAGGAUGAUGGGAUGCCAGGAAGAGGCAGAUCCAGGUGAGGUUGGCCAGUGUAGGGGAGGGUCAGGGGGAUGCACCAGGGUAACAAGCACUCCGGGGAUGUGGACCGUCAUUCCCUCAGGGCCUUGGGGAGAGACCAGAUGGCCCCAUCAUGUCCUGCAAAGACAGCCUCUGACCUGGGUCUAGGAGCUGCGCCUCCAUCAUCCUCCAUCAAGGCCCGGCGCUGCCCCCUGCUCAUGCCCUUGGUCUGGCCCGGGACCUCGGGUUCCCAGCUGCAGCCAGGACGCACCCAUGCCACUUUGGUGGGUUCCAAGCAAAGCUACGUGAGGCCCUACAAAGCCCUUCGGUCCCAGGCACUCUCCCCUGCUCCCCCAGGGACAGCCCAGGUGGGACAGCUUGUUCCCUUGUUUUCUGGUUGUGUGUGUGAGUGGAAGUGUGUGUGGCAGAGUGUGUGUGUGAGAGUGUGAAUGUGAGUGUGUAGUGUGUGUGUGGCAUUGUGGGAGUGUGUGUGGAAGUGUGAAUGAAUGUGUGUGUGAAUGGAAGAGUGUGGAAUUGGGGGAAGUGUAUGAGUGAGCGUGUGUGAAAGUGUUAGUGUGUGUGAGUGGAAAUGUGUGUGAGUGGAAUUGGAGUGUGUGCGUGUGUGGAAGUGAAUGAGUGUGAGUGUGUGAGUGGAAGAGUGUGUGGAAUUGGGAGUGUGUGUGUAUGGGUGUGUUGAGGGUGUGAGUAUGGAAGUGAGUUUGUGUGUAUGUGUGACUGUGUGAGCAUAAGUAUGUGGAAUGGGGGAAGUGUGUGAGAGUGAGUGUGUGUGGAAUGGGGAAGUGUGAGAGUGAGUGUGUGUGUGGAAUGGGGAAGUGUGUGAGAGUGAGUGUGUGUGGAAUGGGGGAAGUGUGUGAGAGUGAGUGUGUGUGGAAUGGGGGAGUGUGUGAGAGUGUGUGUGGAAUGGGGGAGUGUGAGAGUGUGUGUGUGUGGAAUUGGGGAAGUGUGUGUGUGAGUGUGUGUGUGGAAUGGGGGAAGUGUGUGAGAGUGAGUGUGUGUGUGGAAUGGGGGAAGUGUACGUGUUUGUGAGUGUGUGUGGAAUGGGGAGAAUGUACGUGUUUGUGAGUGUGUGAGUGUGGAAUAGGGAAGUGUGUAUGUGUUUGUGUGUGUGUGGAAUGGGGAGAAAUGUGUGUGUUUGAGUGUGAGUGUGUGAGUGUGGAAUGGGGAAGUGUGUAUGUGUUUGUGUGUGUGGAAUUGAGGAGAAGUGUGUGAGAGUGAGUGUGUGUGUGGAAUGGGGGAGUGUGUGAGAGUGUGUGUGUGGAAUGGGGGAGUGUGUGAGUGGAAUGGGGAAGUGAGUGUGUGUGGAAUGGGGGAAGUGUGUACGUGUUUGAGUGUGUGUGGAAUGGGGAGAAUGUACGUGUUUGUGAGUGUGUGAGUGUGGAAUGGGGAAGUGUGUAUGUGUUUGUGUGUGUGGAAUGGGGAGAAAUGUGUGUGUAUUUGAGUGUGAGUGUGUGAGUGUGGAAUGGGGAAGUGUGUAUGUGUGUGUGGAAUUGAGAAGUGUGUGAGAGUGAGUGUGUGUGGAAUGGGGACAAGUGUGUAUGUGUUUGAGUGUGACUGUGUGUGUGUGUGGAAUUGGAGAAGUGUGUGUGAGUGUGAGUGUGGAAUGGGGAAGUGUGUGUUUGUGUGGAAUUGAGGGGAAGUGUGUGUGAGUAUGUGUGAAUUGAGGGGAAGUGUGUACGUAUUUGAGUGUGAGUGUGUGGGGAAUGGGGGGAAGUAUGUUUGAACGUAUGAGUCUUUGAGUGAGUGUGUGCGGGAUGAGUGUGUGUGUUGAGUGUGGGGGAUGAGUGUGUGAGUGUGUGGGAUGAGUGUGUGUUGAGUGUGUGGGGGGUGAGUGUGUGGGUGUGUGGGAUAAGUGUGGAGUGUGUGUGAGUGUGGGUGAAUGUGUGGGUGUGUGUGAGUGUUGAGUGUGUGAGUGUGUGGGAUGAGUGUGACUGAGUGUUGAGUGUGUGUGUUGAGUGUGUGAGUGUGUGUGGGGUGAGUGUGAGAGUGUUGAGUGUGUGAGUGUUGCGUGUGCGAGUGUGUGUGGGAUGAGUGUUGAGUGUGUGUGUGUAUGGAAAGGCGUGUGGGCAGCAAGUGACAGUGAUUCGUGCCCAGACCCAGGGGAGGGGAGUCUGCCUCUAGAGCAAUUGUCGCCCCCUGCCCUGGCUCAGGGCCUUGUGGAGGGAGGAACUGUUUCUCCCACCCUGACCUGUCCCUUGCAGGGCAGAAGGGGACAGUGUCAGUUUCCUCCCGACACCUCUGUCACAGCUCGCACCAAACACCCUCAGACACACCCGCAGACCCACAGACGCACGUGCACACACACAUAGCCCAGAGAGACACGCACAGACAUACCCGGAUGCACAGAGACGUGUACACUGACAGACGCAGACAUAGACACACGCACGCACACGCAUGCAUUCUUUGCCUGCUGCUUGGGAGCCCCCAUCCUUCCUCCCCCAGCACACGGGGGCGGCCACAUUCACUGGGUCCCGGCCCCAGCACUGAUCAAAGCUGGGUUAGUUUUUCCAGCAGGCACCAGGUCCCCAGGAGCUGCCCUGGAUCUGCGGGACUCCAGGGAGUCAACAGAGAGGGUCGUCCCCGUCCCUGUCCCCAUCUCUGUCCUCGUCCUCGUAGGGCCCAGACUCCCCCUCCAGGACGAGGCUCCCUGAGCCCACCUGCACUGCUCAGCUCCUCCACGUGGCGCCUCUUCCCGACCUUCUGCAGGGGAAGAGGACCCAAGGCUCCAGGAGGGGUCAGG
rnacentral:lncRNA from 1 species